rnacentral:rRNA from 1 species
UACAGAGGUCUCAAGCGUUGUUCGGAUUCAUUGGGCGUAAAGGGUGCGUAGGUGGCGCUGUAAGUCGGGUGUGAAAUUUCGGAGCUUAACUCCGAAACUGCAUUCGAUACUGCCGUGCUUGAGGACUGGAGAGGAGACUGGAAUUUACGGUGUAGCGGUGAAAUGUGUAGAUAUCGUAAGGAAGACCAGUGGCGAAGGCGGGUCUCUGGGCCGUAACUGACGCUGAGGAGCGAAAGCGUGGGGAGCGAACAGG